rnacentral:rRNA from 1 species
AGCAUAUCAAUAAGCGGAGGAAAAGAAACCAACAGGGAUUGCCUCAGUAACGGCGAGUGAAGCGGCAACAGCUCAAAUUUGAAAUCUGGCCCCUUCGGGGCCCGAGUUGUAAUUUGUAGAGGGUGCUUUGGCGUUGGCCCUGGCCUAAGUUCCUUGGAACAGGACGUCACAGAGGGUGAGAACCCCGUAUGUGGCCGUCGGCCUUCGCCGUGUAAAGCCCCUUCGACGAGUCGAGUUGUUUGGGAAUGCAGCUCUAAAUGGGAGGUAAAUUUCUUCUAAAGCUAAAUAUUGGCCAGAGACCGAUAGCGCACAAGUAGAGUGAUCGAAAGAUGAAAAGCACUUUGGAAAGAGAGUCAAAAAGCACGUGAAAUUGUUGAAAGGGAAGCGCUUGCAGCCAGACUUGCCUGUAGUUGCUCAUCCAAGCUCCUGCUUGGUGCACUCUUCUGUAGGCAGGCCAGCAUCAGUCCGGGCGGUCGGAUAAAGGCUUUGGGAAUGUAGCUCUCUUCGGGGAGUGUUAUAGCCCAUUGUGUCAUGCGACCAGCCUGGACUGAGGUCCGCGCAUCUGCUAGGAUGCUGGCGUAAUGGCUGUAAGCGGCCCGUCUUGAAACACGGACCAAGGAGUCUAACAUCUAUGCGAGUGUUUGGGUGUCAAGCCCGGGCGCGCAAUGAAAGUGAACGGAGGUGGGAACCCCUCGGGGCGCACCAUCGACCGAUCCUGAUGUCUUCGGAUGGAUUUGAGUAAGAGCAUAGCUGUUGGGACCCGAAAGAUGGUGAACUAUGCCUGAAUAGGGUGAAGCCAGAGGAAACUCUGGUGGAGGCUCGCAGCGGUUCUGACGUGCAAAUCGAUCGUCAAAUUUGGGCA